ACUCAUGCCACAAUUGUUGACUGAAGGAGUGAGAUUUCAGUGGCCUACUGUUUUCUCAAUUACGCUUCUCAAAUAAGCUUCCUGUCCCUGCUUUCUACAUAUAAACAUUUCUUUCAAAGAUACUUCCAAACAAUAACAGCAAAGAGAUGAGAUGUAGGUGGUUUGGAGUUAAGAUGAAGGUAGAAUCGACGGGUCCAAGAUGAAGGGGAUAACAUUGGUAUUCUGACUGGGAUUGAUGGCUACCUGUUUUACACACAAAUUUUGAGAUUUGUUUUGAGGGUGGACAGAAGCGUGCUCAUUCAAUCACUAUCAACGAAUCUUGAUUUUCCUAGAAACAAAUUGAGUUUGUGUUGUUGAAGCUGUUACCUUCUUUUGGGUGUUGUUUUUGGUUCAACAGCAGACAAAUAAAACCCAUUGCUAUUUUAAUCAGGUAAAGCUCUCGAUUUAUUGUCUCUGUGUAUUUUUUUCUUUAAUUAGCUUGUAUAUACAAGUAAUUGGUUGUGUGCUCUCUUCAGUAACAUUAAUUGAUUCUCUUGUUAGAUUUCUAGGCAGGAAAUUCAUGAUUAUUUAUAAAAUUUAAAAAUAACUAAUCAAUUUUUUUUUUUUUUAUGUAGUUUUCAUUUGCAGUUUAUAAUUUUAUUUUCCAAUUAAUUUACGCAAAUACGCUCAUGAUCUUAUGCUUAUAGACGAAAAUCUAUAAUGAACUAAAUAAAUAUGUUUUCAAGUUAGAAUUUGAUGUAUUGCUGUAGUUUUAAUGGUGAUUGGUGUACUCUACGCUAUUUCGCGAGAUUAGAGAAAAUGGGAAAAGAGCAACUACGAAGGGUUUCACUAUAUAAAUGAUAAUUCAAUUAAAAAGACAAUAAUUUCUGUAUACAGAAAGAGCUUCUUAGAUUGAAUCAAUAGGGACAUGAAUUAUUUAGCUGCAGUGUCUUUAUUGGUGCAUAUUUAAAUAAAUUGGAAGAGAAACAACAACAUAUGCCACAUUAACUGAAAUAUACAAUUACCAUAAUAUCAAUUUCUUAGUUUUCCAAAGUCUACUACUUGUAACAAAUUAUCAUCACAUAGCAAAAGAAUUGGUUAAUAUUUAUUUCAUUUGAUUUCAGAAUGGUGCUGCGAAUAAUGUAUAUAAUAUUUAUAUAUCUUAAAUUGCUUUUGACACCAUUGAAUUUGAGACCUCAAUUUAUUUGAAGUGUAAUUCAUGAUUGACAGCAUGCUCAAACUUGAAAAUUCUAUCUUUAUUUACAACCAAAUAGUGACAUUAGAAGUUAACCCGUGCAGAUGAAGGUUUUCUUUUCCAUAACAUCAUGUACUUCAGCUGCAGAAAUAUACUAAUGAGCUAAAACUAAUUUAUGAUCCUCAUUUUCCUUUCAACUAACAAAUGCUUUCUUUUUGGUUGACACCAAGAAUAUUUCUCAUCUCAAUCCAUGAAUUGAACAGUUCAAUUUGCUGAGGAGAAGUUGAAUAAGGUAAUAAUCAAUUGUGCGAUAAUUUCUAAGUAUCUCAGAUUUAUAUCAAUUUUAGUCUUUCUCCACUAUUGUAGAACAAUGUGAAGUUGCUUCUCACAUUUUUAUUUUGACACUGGCAUUGAGUACAAUAUGAAUUUAUUAAAUGUUUCGAAGAAAGAAAUUUUGGUUCUUGACAGGGCAAAAGCAAGGGACUGUUUUCAUUGUUGAUCAAUUAAAAUUUUAAACGUUGACAGUUUGGUUUCAAAGUUUUUAACUGUAACCAUUCUAUACAUCAUUUUCUUAAGGAGUAUACAAAUGCUAUAGGAUUUAGAUAUUUACAUGAGAAAUGCACUAAUAAAAGGUUAAGCUAACAAAAAAUUUGAAGCAAGAACCUGAACAUUGAUCUUCUUGUUCAUUGAGUAUCGUCGAUGCUUUUUUCCCUUUGAACUUGGCAUAGAGUAUUUUGUUGGUCAUGCAGCAAGGGUUCUACUAUAGAUGAAUUGAAGAAGGAAAACAAUAUUCGGUAUUCUGUUGAAGAAUAGCAAGCUUAAAUGAAGAGUUUAUAUCUCAUGAAUCUCCAUCAUUUGGGUUUGAUUUCACAGUAAGAAAAUAGAGUAGAAGCUGCUUGAUUACAAUCAAGAAGCUGAAAGGUUUGGAGGUAUUGAAUUUUUCCUUUAGUUCUGUUUACACUUUAUGUUUGCAUAAUUUUCUUUGCAUUAGGUGGUAUGUCACUCUUAUUAAGAUCAUUCGAGGUUAUGCUUAUAAGGAAUUAUCAAAACUGUCACCUGAUCAACGGCAUGUUGCGUACACUAUGUAUGAUAGAUUUUGGUUCGCUAUCUAAUAGGCCCCAAGCUAAUUGGAUAGAUUGGUAUUGUUGGUUUUGCUAUAACGGCUGGAUUUGUUUCCAUUGGAUAGCUUGAGAUGAAAUUAAUGUUUGAUUGUUUUUCGAUUAUGUUGUAGCAUGCUUGGCUUGGGAUGACACUGGUUUGGGAGUGUAAGGCAAAAGCCCAUUGCAUUAUUAAGCAUCAUCAAGGGUGUCUUACUAUUUCAUUAAUUUUGGAAGUUGGUAAAUAGUAUAUACUUUCAUUCAACUUCCUAAGUAGUGAUUAAUUUUCCAUUGAUUCCACUAUUUUCUACAAGGCACGUGCUGGAAUCACAUAAGUUCGCUUUCCCUCAUUUAAUUUAACAAACAAAAGGAUAGUUCUAGCGUACAUAAAUGCAGCUGGAAAAUUGCAUCAAGUGAACGAAGGCACACCGGAGAUUUGGAUUUUCAUCAUCAUGUAAGCGGCAAUCCAAAUUAUCCAAUUAAUUUGGAUGAUGUUGACGUUCUCGAAGAGGAACACGAUCAGGAAGAAGAGACUGAAUUAAACAUUCCUGAUGUAAGAGGAAACCGAAAGGGGAAAAUACAAGCAAAAUGUUGGGAUCACAUUAAGUUGAUUUCAACGGGAAAAAUCGUCAAUGGAGUCUAAGAAUCCAGAGCAGUAUGUAAAUACUACCAACAAAGAUUGGCAUGGCAAAGAAGAAUUGGUACCACCCAUCUCAACCGUCAUUACAAAGUAUGGGCGGCCAAACACGGACUUAUUCCAGGCUGUCAAACACAAUUGCAAUUUGGCAGUCCAAACGCAAGUGGUUCUACUGCAACCUUAUCCACAUGGGUGUAUUCGGAGGAGAAAGCUCGAACCGGAAUGGUAAAGUUUGUUGCUGGUGUUGAGUUGCCUUUGGCAUUAAUAGACAACCAACACUACGUCUUGUAUGUGAAAGAAUAUCUGCAGCCAAGGUACGUUGAGGUAAAUCGAAACACUCUUCAUUCUGAUACAAUACAAUAUUUUACUUCAACAAAACAACAAUUAAUUAUGGAUU